GCCUUAAGAAGUAAACAAUGAAGUUCCUUUGGGGACACAACAGUUGCGUAACUGAUUAUUUUGCUGCGUGUUAACCCACAAAGGGUGGGGGGGACAUAUAAAAGCUGCUCGCGAUUGGAAGGGGCCUUUUCCUGAUGUUUUAAAAACACUCACCCCCACGGUACAAGUCCUUUCUCCUGCCAGGAGAGGUAAUCUCAUCCAAGUUCAUGAGUCAUCUGUCAAGUCACACCAACCUCACCCAACCACCUUACCUUCAGGUCCACGUUUUUCUUUUGGACUUCACACCCAGUGCACCACCUUCGCUUGUGGCCAUUUGUUACAAUGGCUUUAAAACGCUAUACAGAAGGACAUCAAGGGGUACAAUAUCAUGGAAACCAAGGCAAAGAGUAUCUCAAGAGGAAGAGUGGACACAACUAGUUCAGCUGGCAGGUAUUAAGGACAUUGUCUAUGUCAAGCCUUGUCCAAGGUGCUGGAGAUGUCAUCCUGGUGGUGAUUCAUUCUAAAUGAAAGGAAACAGGUGAAUAAGCAGUGUCAAGAAGUCAAUUAAAAGCAGGAUGAAGUGGCCAAUGCUGCGGCGCAGUGGAUUAAAAUGCCACCUAUAUAAGUUCUGAUUCAAGUCCAGGAGGUUCCUCUUCCAGUCCAGUUUCCUGCUAAUAUGCCUGGGAAUGCAGAAGCUAGUCCACGAAUCUGGCUCCCGGAUACCUACAUGGAAGACCACAUAAGAGAUGGAAUU